GUGAACCCCUUCCCCUCUUCUGGACUCACCUGUGCCAGGGGAGCAACCCCACCCCGAUGUUGCUUUGAGAUCCACAGUGGCAGGGGUGGGGUAAAGCCGGGGGGAAUAAGAGGGAGGAGCACCCUGUGUUAUAAUUAUAAUUAUCACACUUCGGAUCCUAUCGCACGAUUUCAGAGGAGCUCCUUUCCUUCCCACGGAUGCACCCCUCCUGGUCCAGGAAACCCCAGGAGAAACUGAGGCACAGUGGUGGGAAAGCAGGGUGAUCACAAGAAGGCUGCACACCUCAGCCAAACCGGUUGGAGUGGGUUGUGCUGAAAUUUUUGUUUGUGUCAAUGGGACUUGGAGGACCAAAGCUAUUUCCAGUAGAAGCUUCAAGAUCCCUCUUCCUGCUCCUCCCUGGGACUCUCUUCACCCACAGAAGGCUGGACAGUGACCCCGAUACUCUGGCAGCUUUUCUUCCACUGAAAAGCAACUUUGCUCCCCUCCAGCUGAAGCUUCACUGUGCCCAGUAUCAGGAUGACGGCGUCCUGCUUCCUAAGAGGUUUCCUGUAAACAUUG